GGGGACGUUACGGAUUCGACAGGGGUAGGUCGAGCUUAAGUCGCGAGUCGAGUUGGCGAGCUACGUUAAAAACGCCAUGCCUAUAACUGGCAAAGAAAACAACAACUUCGCACUAGCAGCGUAAGCUGUUUUGCGGUUCCUCCCUCCAUCGCCCAUGUGGUAGGGUAAGGGACUCAACUUAAGUGGGAUACGCCAACAAUCCACCGUCUGAGGAAAGUUGGAAGAGAUUAACCAGACUAGCUACAAAGACGCCUGUCGUUAGGCAGAAUUGUAGUGAAACAAUAAUAUAACGACUACACUCGUAGAAGCUUAAGUGCCGAUACUUCUGGACGUGGGUUCGACUCCCACCGUCUCCACCA
rfam:Anaerobacillus macyae strain DSM 16346 scaffold2, whole genome shotgun sequence.